GCCUGGGUGGCUCAGUCAGUUGAGCGUCCGACUUCAGCUCAGGUAAUGGUCUCCCAGUUUGUAAGUUCCAGCCCUGCCUCGGGCU
rnacentral:tRNA from 1 species